GUUGUCUCUUGUCUGACCUUGUGAAUGCCGCAAGCGGUGACGUCACUUACUGCGAUUACAGUGAUGGAACAUCAGUUCCUUAUCACCAUUGGUGUGACGUGAAGAGCAAGACGGAGAGCGGACAUAAUUCCACCCAGACGUACAUGUGUGAAUGGGGCGCUUGGAGGAGAGAUUUAGGGACUAGCUCGGACGCACAGAUUGGAGCUGGUCGAACAAAACGGUUUUUCUGGUUAAUUCUACCUGUACUGGUGUUUUCGUUUCUGUACUGCGUAGAUGGAAGGUGCUUCAGAAAAGAAUCAAGCGUCCAGGAUUUAGCGCCACCUCCUUCAUACACAUACUGUCCUCCUUCUAAAUACAAGCUGAAUACUACGCCGUGCGCAGUCAGACAUCAGUUACGGUUUCAUGGACAGAGCCUCCUAGCACUGGAAACGUGGUAGAAAGGAGUCUGAUCUGUUCUGGUAACAUGACGAACGGAGGGUCUUUCAGGGGCUCAAUAGACGGCCAAAAUUACUAUUGUACGCACACAAUAACAGAUUCGUACAGACGGAAGGAUUCCUGUUAUUUUGGUUUCAAAG